rnacentral:rRNA from 1 species
UACGAAGGGAGCUAGCGUUGUUCGGAAUUACUGGGCGUAAAGGGCGCGUAGGCGGCUUUAUAAGUCAGAUGUGAAAUCCCUGGGCUUAACCUAGGAAUGGCAUUUGAUACUGUAAGGCUAGAGAUCGAGAGAGGAUAGUGGAAUUGCGAGUGUAGAGGUGAAAUUCGUAGAUAUUCGCAAGAACACCGGUGGCGAAGGCGGCUAUCUGGCUCGAUACUGACGCUAAGGCGCGAAAGCGUGGGGAGCAAACAGG